rnacentral:misc_RNA from 1 species
GAUGAAGAACGCAGCGAAAUGCGAUAAGUAAUGUGAAUUGCAGAAUUCAGUGAAUCAUCGAAUCUUUGAACGCACAUUGCGCCCUCCGGCAUUCCGGGGGGCAUGCCUGUCCGAGCGUCACGAAAACCCCAUCACACUCGUUGUGGUCAUGGCUGCAGUGAGUCGUCUCCAGCGGAGAGGGUCACGCCGCUGAAAGGAAUGGUGCGGAUGAGUUCCGAUGGCCGAACGUAGUACUUGACAACCGUCGGCCGAUGGGACCCUCCAUCUCGCCCUGACGACGUACCCCCGUCGUACCCCCGAUCAGGUGGACCUCGGAUCAGGUAGGGAUACCCGCUGAACUUAAGCAUAUCAAUAAGCGGAGA